rnacentral:misc_RNA from 1 species
UACUACCCAAGGUUGGGGCUA